rnacentral:rRNA from 1 species
GACGAACGCUGGCGGCGUGCCUAAUACAUGCAAGUCGAACGCAGUGGGGACGGGUGAGUAACACGUGGGUAACCUCCCAUCAGAGGGGAUAACACUUGGAAACAGGUGCUAAACCGAUACUGAUGGAUGGACCCGCGGUUCAUUAGCUAGUUGGUUAGGUAACGGCUCACCUAGGCGACGAUCCCUAGCUUAGCGGAGAGGAUGAUCGGCCACACUGGAACUGGGACCAGGUCCAUACUCCUACGGGAUGCAGCAGUGGGGAAUGUGGCACAAUGGGCGCAAGCCUGAUGCAGCCAUGCCGCGUGUGUGAAGAAGGCCUUCGGGUUGUAAAGCACUUUCAGCGAGGAGGCGUUACUCGCAGAAGAAGCACCGGCUAACUCCGUGCCAGCAGCCGCGGUAAUUC